GAUGAACGCUGGCGGCGUGCCUAAUACAUGCAAGUCGAGCGAACAGACGAGGAGCUUGCUCCUCUGACGUUAGCGGCGGACGGGUGAGUAACACGUGGAUAACCUACCUGUAAGACUGGGAUAACUUCGGGAAACCGGAGCUAAUACCGGAUAAUAUAUUGAACCGCAUGGUUCAAUAGUGAAAGACGGUUUUGCUGUCACUUAUAGAUGGAUCCGCGCCGCAUUAGCUAGUUGGUAAGGUAACGGCUUACCAAGGCGACGAUGCGUAGCCGACCUGAGAGGGUGAUCGGCCACACUGGAACUGAGACACGGUCCAGACUCCUACGGGAGGCAGCAGUAGGGAAUCUUCCGCAAUGGGCGAAAGCCUGACGGAGCAACGCCGCGUGAGUGAUGAAGGUCUUCGGAUCGUAAAACUCUGCUAUUAGGGAAGAACAAAUGUGUAAGUAACUAUGCACGUCUUGACGGUACCUAAUCAGAAAGCCACGGCUAACUACGUG
rnacentral:rRNA from 1 species